rnacentral:misc_RNA from 1 species
ACUAGAGUCAUCUCCAGGGUUAUUCAAUAUCUCAUACUCUAGGUCUCGAAUUUGACUCUCAGUUGAAGUCAAAUGGAAGAACACUACUUGAGAACAUUACAAGCACAAGUGUAUUUGUUUUGUAUUGGAAAACUCAUGUCUCCUUCAACUAAAUACCAUAUCUGGUAAUAUUUAAACCUAAGAUGAAAUUCCUAUCAUCAAAAUGUGUUAAAAGAAG